UACGAAGGGGCUAGCGUUGCUCGGAAUCACUGGGCGUAAAGCGCACGUAGGCGGAUUGUUAAGUCAGGGGUGAAAUCCUGGAGCUCAACUCCAGAACUGCCUUGAUACUGGCGAUCUCGAGUCCGGGAGAGGUGAGUGGAACUGCGAGUGUAGAGGUGAAAUUCGUAGAUAUUCGCAAGAACACCAAGGCGAAGGCAGCUCGCUGGACGGUAGUGACGCUGAGACGCGAAAGCGUGGGAGCAACAGGG
rnacentral:rRNA from 1 species